UACGUAGGGUGCAAGCGUUAAUCGGAAUUACUGGGCGUAAAGCGUGCGCAGGCGGCUAUGCAAGACAGAUGUGAAAUCCCCGGGCUCAACCUGGGAACUGCAUUUGUGACUGCAUUGCUAGAGUACGGUAGAGGGGGAUGGAAUUCCGCGUGUAGCAGUGAAAUGCGUAGAUAUGCGGAGGAACACCGAUGGCGAAGGCAAUCCCCUGGACCUGUACUGACGCUCAUGCACGAAAGCGUGGGGAGCAAACAGG
rnacentral:rRNA from 1 species